AAUAACAUUUUAGAUACUUUCCAAGCAGUUUUAUCACGUGUCAACUUCCCAAAUAUUUACAAUUGAUCAAGUGCGAUCUUUCAAAUGUAUUCAUGUCACUUUUAAGUCAAAGCGAUCGAUUAGAACAUCCCUUACCCUAACCCAUUAUAAACUUUACAGUAAACAUAUCUGCCUCAUUCAUCCAAAAUUGAUAUUUUGGAAAUAAACAAUGCUCA